AUUGAACGCUGGCGGCAGGCCUAACACAUGCGAGUCGAGCGGAUGAAGGGAGCUUGCUCCUGGAUUCAGCGGCGGACGGGUGAGUAAUGCCUAGGAAUCUGCCUGGUAGUGGGGGAUAACGUCCGGAAACGGGCGCUAAUACCGCAUACGUCCUGAGGGAGAAAGUGGGGGAUCUUCGGACCUCACGCUAUCAGAUGAGCCUAGGUCGGAUUAGCUAGUUGGUGGGGUAAAGGCCUACCAAGGCGACGAUCCGUAACUGGUCUGAGAGGAUGAUCAGUCACACUGGAACUGAGACACGGUCCAGACUCCUACGGGAGGCAGCAGUGGGGAAUAUUGGACAAUGGGCGAAAGCCUGAUCCAGCCAUGCCGCGUGUGUGAAGAAGGUCUUCGGAUUGUAAAGCACUUUAAGUUGGGGGGAAGGGCAGUAAGUUAAUACCUUGCUGUUUUGACGUUACCAACAGAAUAAGCACCGGCUAACUUCGUG
rnacentral:rRNA from 1 species